UACGAAGGGGGCUAGCGUUGUUCGGAAUUACUGGGCGUAAAGCGUGCGCAGGCGGCCAUCCAAGUCAGUGGUGAAAGCCCGGAGCUCAACUCCGGAAUUGCCUUUGAAACUGUUUGGCUCGAGUACGAGAGAGGUGAGUGGAAUUCCCAGUGUAGCGGUGAAAUGCGUAGAUAUUGGGAGGAACACCAGUGGCGAAGGCGGCUCACUGGACCGGUUCUGACGCUGAUGCGCGAAAGCGUGGGGAGCAAACGGG
rnacentral:rRNA from 1 species